GAUGAAGAACGUAGCGAAAUGCGAUAAGUAAUGUGAAUUGCAGAAUUCAGUGAAUCAUCGAGUCUUUGAACGCACAUUGCGCCCCCUGGUAUUCCGGGGGGCAUGCCUGUCCGAGCGUCAUUGCUGCCCUCAAGCACGGCUUGUGUGUUGGGCCUCCGUCCUCCUCCCGGGGGACGGGCCCGAAAGGCAGCGGCGGCACCGCGUCCGGUCCUCGAGCGUAUGGGGCUUAGUCACCCGCUCUUGUAGGCCCGGCCGGCGCUUGCCGACACAUCAAUCUUUUUUCCAGGUUGACCUCGGAUCAGGUAGGGAUACCCGCUGAACUUAAGCAUAUCAAUAAGCGGAGGA
rnacentral:misc_RNA from 1 species